AACAAAACCAAAAGGUUCCUUAGCUCAGAUUUCAGUCCUGACUUCUUUGUCGUUGUUAAGUUUUUAUUGUUGUUUCGUUAUGCAGCUCUCACUGCACUGGGAUUCACUAUGUAGACCAGGGUGGCCUCAGACUCUCAGAAGUCUGUCUGCCUCCUAUGUAACAGAAGUAAAGGCGUGUACCAUCAAGCACACCCUGCUCCUUUAAAGAAAGAUUUGUAUUUGGUGUGUGUAUAUGUGCUGUUUUGCCUGCAUUUAUAUAUUAUGCAUUUAGUGCCUGUGGAAGCCAGAAGAUGGAGUUGGAUCCCUGGGAACUGGUGUUACAGGGGGUUGUGAGCCACUGGGUGGAUGCUGAGAACUGACUCUGGGACCUCAGCAAACAAACACAGCAAGAGAGCCAUCUACUGAGCCAUCUUUCCAGACCCUUCCUUCUUUUUAUAUUUUUAAAAACAUGGAUCUCAGUUUUUUUUCCUAGUCGUUGUUGUGAAUUCUGUCAAAGUUCCAUAGACGUGAUUCUUGUAGUGAUCAUAGAAAGAGUAUUGAAAGAUGUCGAGUAGUCACCGGCUGUUCUAAUUAGGCUGCCCUGCCUCUAUAAUAAAACACUGACCAAACCAACCUGGGGAGGAAGGGGUUACCUAGAUUAAACUUCCAUGUCGCAAUCAUGAUUCAGGGAAGGCAGGUCAGGAAUUCAAGGCAAGAACUGAGACAGGCCAGGGAGGACACUGCUUGCUCGCUCGCUCUUGUGGUGUGCUCAGGAUCACCGGCCCAG
rnacentral:lncRNA from 1 species